rnacentral:rRNA from 1 species
UACGGAGGGUGCAAACGUUGCUCGGAAUCAUUGGGCGUAAAGCGCACGUAGGUGGCUUGUUAAGUCGGGUGUGAAAUCCCUGGGCUCAACCCAGGAAGUGCACUCGAAACUGGCGAGCUUGAGUACUGAAGAGGGUCGCGGAAUUCCCGGUGUAGAGGUGAAAUUCGUAGAUAUCGGGAGGAACACCAGUGGCGAAGGCGGCGACCUGGGCAGAUACUGACACUGAGGUGCGAAAGCGUGGGAGCAAACAGG